CCCACACACACUCACACACACACACACACACACACACAUUCUCUGAAGCUACGGGUCUCCUUGGGCAGUUGAGUUCUCAUUGCAAGUAGGAGCUGGGGGCGCCUUGGCUACUGGAGAAUUUCGAGAGGCGAUUUCCAGAUCUCACAAGUUGGAAGUUGUUUUCCUGCUGGAAAAGAGUGGCGGCCGGCGGGAUAUAAGGGCGGCAGGCGCCGGGCGAGAGUCAGAUCCUCAGCGCUUCACACUCGGUGAGAGACCCAGGCAGGCAGAGAGCAAAGAUCACAUACAAGAAGAGACCCGGGGCCAACAAGCAGGCGCAUACAUUUCGCUAUUUAAGACACCGAAACACUCUCAGAUUUUGUGUGUGGUUCUUUUUUUUUCUUUUGUUAUUGCUUGGAUUCAUAAAACAAAACAAAACAAAACAAAAAACCCCGAACAGCCCGAAUCUUUGCUGUGGCUAAGGAGAUAAGAGUCGAGUGAUCUCUGACAAAUCGCUGCUGCCGCUGCUGCCGCUGCCGCUGCUGCUGCUUGACAUCUACCGGCCACAAUCCACAGCGGCCAGAGAACUGCGCGCACACACCCGCACACAAAACAACAACCAGCCAGCACUCUCCCUUCUUCCGAAGCCACCGGGGAUUAUCACCUCGCCUAUAGGGAUUUCCAGAUCGCCGUUUUUUAAUCUUCCUUGUGAAGAAGCCUCUUCGCUGUUCUCUUGGGAAUUAAGCUAAACAUUUGGCGUCUUGCUCUCCACUCCCCUCUCUUUUUUUGGUGGGGAAGAAACGCAAGGAAAAGACAGAAGAAAAAAGAGCCCUAUCUCCUCGUGGAUUGGAAAAGCCCGGAGGAAAGCCAAAAGCUGACAUUCAGAAUAUUUCAUAUAUAUAUAUAUAUAUAUAUAUACACAUAUAUAUACAUAUAUACACAUAUAUUUUCAAAGCAAUCUCUCCCCCCCUUUUUUUUGCCAUCCACUACAGCUGUCAGUCACCGAAAGGGCGUGUAUCUAAAGCAACCACAACACUCACAGAAAAGAAAGAGAGGAGAGGUUCUUGCAAAAGGAAAACCCUAACUCCACCAGCCUGGGACAAGAGAUUUCUUCUGUCCAGGCUUUUGAAAUAUUUUUUCUCCCUUUAAUACUCUCUAAUCUUAAGAAAAAGAGGGAAGAGGGGAGAAGGAAGACCAGACAAGAGA
rnacentral:lncRNA from 1 species